UCUCUGGUGGUCCCGUGGCUAAGACUCUGAGCUCCCAAUGCAGGGAUCCAGGUUUGAUUCCUGGUCAGGGAA
rnacentral:tRNA from 1 species